rnacentral:lncRNA from 1 species
UUAAAGGUUGUUGCUUUUGGAGGGAGGUCCUGGCUCACCUUCUUGUUUGCUUGGAGGAAAGCAUAUAGUGUCCUGGGGCUUUGAAGACAUGUUACCUGCACCUGAUGCCAACAGUGGCUCCAGUGGUGAAAAUAAAGAUGCAGACUUAGGACGUUGUCUUGCAGCAGAUGGCCUCUACCUUUAUACAACAAAUUCAGUGGGAAGAGGAAUAAGCAAAUUAGGAUCUGGAUUACAUGGUACCUUGCGAGGUUUUGUCUACUGCCGAAAUGAGGAGCUGGAGGCUGGGUGGGUUGCUUUUGGCAACAGCAAACUUCUUCAUCGGCCUGUCUCUUUUGAUAAUAAGCCUCACUCCCUUUUCCAGGUUGUGGAUCAGCAUACCCUUCAGGUGUGUCAAAUAAUCCCAAUGCCAGUAAAUCACUUCCCAGUUGGCAGUACUAUGACCACCGUGCAUCUUUCUUCAGAUGGUACAUAUUUCUACUGGAUUUGGUCUCCUGCAAGCCUCAAUGAGAAAACACCAAAAGGCC